UUGUUGAAGGGUUUGGAUGUUUAAUAUUCUUUAGGUAUCUCUACUGAUGAAUCUAAAAAAUAUGAGAAUCUCUGAUACUUGACGAUGACCUUCAGUGAUAUUACAGGGAUUUAUGCAAGUGUUAUUCAGAGACAUCAAAGAUCUAUUGCGGAUGGUUGUCCAACUACUGCAAGGUCUUGAAAGACCAUUGAAAUCAACAGGAGGUUUAAAGUCUGAUGAAAUUUCUGACGAUCUGUGUGCUACCAUCUCCACUGAUCUUUUGUGUCAAAUGUAAGACAUUCACAGCAAUUUAAGAGGUGGCACUUUGGAGCUAUACAUGUUCAUUAUCUUAGAAUGUUUGUUUCCCCCACUCCAGUGUCUUUCUUAUAGGGAUCUGAACUCUUUAGGUACUAUUUUGUAUUCCAAGAACUUUAAUUGUCUUUUAAUUCCUCAGUGGUCAUAUCCUCAACUAUGUUUAUGUUUAGCUUUUUUCUUUCCAAUGUCAUUUCAUCAGUGAAUAAGAUUUGAUUGAUGCUGGCA